rnacentral:rRNA from 1 species
UAAAUACUUAUUAUUAGUUAUUUAUAUAGUAUUUACUAUUAAUAUAAGAAAUCUUAUAAAAUAUACCUUUAAAUAUAGUAAUAGAAAAAUUUAAAUAUUAAAAAGUAAAUAUAU